rnacentral:lncRNA from 1 species
GGGACGUACGGGGACACCAGAGACACAUGGGAUCCCUGGAGACACCGGGGACACACACGGGGGGACACGGGGGGACGGGUGCGAUGCCUGGGGAUGCAGGGGGGACACCAGGGAUAGAUGGGGCCACAUGGGGACACGUGGGGUCACCGGGGACGUGUGGGAUCACUGGGGACACACAGGGACGUGUGGGAUCCCUGGGGACACCGGGCACACGGGGGGACACAGGGGGACGGGUGCGAUCCCUGGGGAUGCAGGGGGGAAACCAGGGACACGCAGGGGACACGCAGGGACAGAUGGGGCCACUGGGGACACGUGGGGACACUUGGGUCACUGGGGACGUGUGGGGGUCACUGGGGACGCGCAGGGACGCCAGGGACGGAUGGGACCACCGGGGACACCGGGGAUCACCAAGGACACGUGGGGAUCGCUGGGGACACCAGGGACACGCAGGGAUGGAUGGGGUCACUGGGGACACGUGGGGACACCAGGGACGCGUGGGGACACUGGGGACAUGCAGGGAUCACUGGGGACACGUGGGGACACCAGGGAUCUCUGGGGACACACGGCGAUCCCUGGGGACACCGGGGACACAAGGGAUCGCUGGGGACAUGUGGGGACACAAAGGGACGGAUGGAGUCACCAGGGACACGUGUGGACCCCAGGGACAUGUGGGAUCACUGGGGACACACGGGAAGACCAGGGACAUCCAGGGACACCGGGCACAGGCGGGCGUAGCGGGGGACACGGCAUGGGGACACCAAGACAUGGGGACACCAAGACACCAGGACAUGGGGACACCAGGACACGGGGAUGGGGACACCAAGACACAGGGACCCCAAGACAUGGCAUGGGGACACCAGGGAUGGGGAUGGAGACACCAGGACACGGGGACACCAGGACACGGGGACAUGGGGAUGGGGACACCAGGACACGGGGACACCAGGGCACAGGGAUGGGGACACCAAGACACAGGGACACCAGGACACGGGGACAAGGUCACGGCGCAGGGACGGGGUCACCAGCGACGGUGUCACAGCGCGGGGGAGGGGGACGGUGAC